rnacentral:sRNA from 1 species
AUGCUUGACCUACACAGUUGAUUUACAACGUAUCGCCUGACACACGCGCAUGGAGAAUCAUCAAACAUAUAUGUACUUAUAAAUAUAUAGUAUUACUCAUGUUUGUGUAAAUCUCAUCAUCAUGGUGUCACUUAUAUAUAUAUAUGUGUAAGUCCAUUGUUAGUCUUGAUCACCUAGCUUCAUAAAGAGAGGAGCAUAUAUAUGUCGUUCAAUCAUAUUUGCAUAGCAUAAUAAUGCAUGCAUAGUUUUUAUAUGUAUCUCUUUCCGGUGCUGCUAUGUAUCUCUAUACGAUUAAAUAAAAAUACCAAUGUUUUAUAAUUAUGU